UACGUAGGGGGCGAGCGUUGUCCGGAUUUAUUGGGCGUAAAGAGCUCGUAGGCGGUUCGGUAAGUCGGCUGUGAAAUCUCCACGCUCAACGUGGAGGGGUCAGUCGAAACUGCCGUGACUCGAGUCCGGUAGAGGAGUGUGGAAUUCCCGGUGUAGCGGUGAAAUGCGCAGAGAUCGGGAGGAACACCCGUAGCGAAGGCGGCACUCUGGGCCGGUACUGACGCUGAGGAGCGAAAGCGUGGGGAGCAAACAGG
rnacentral:rRNA from 2 species